CCAAUCUAGAGUNUCGGAGAGGAAAGUGGAAUUCCUAGUGUAGCGGUGAAAUGCGUAGAUAUUAGGAAGANCACCAGUGGCGAAGGCGACUUUCUGGACGAAAACUGACGCUGAGGCGCGAAAGCCAGGGGAGCGAACGGGAUUAGAUACCCCGGUAGUCCUGGCCGUAAACGAUGGGUACUAGGUGUAGGAGGUAUCGACCCCUUCUGUGCCGGAGUUAACGCAAUAAGUACCCCGCCUGGGGAGUACGACCGCAAGGUUGAAACUCAAAGGAAUUGACGGGGGCCCGCACAAGCGGUGGAGUAUGUGGUUUAAUUCGACGCAACGCGAAGAACCUUACCAGGUCUUGACAUUGAUGGACAGAACUAGAGAUAGUUCCUCUUCUUCGGAAGCCAGAAAACAGGUGGUGCACGGUUGUCGUCAGCUCGUGUCGUGAGAUGUUGGGUUAAGUCUCGCAACGAGCGCAACCCCUAUCUUAUGUUGCCAGCACUUUGGGUGGGAACUCAUGAGAGGCUGCCGCAGACAAUGCGGAGGAAGGCGGGGAUGACGUCAAAUCAUCAUGCCCCUUAUGACCUGGGCUACACACGUACUACAAUGGGAGUUAAUAGACGGAAGCGAGAUCGCGAGAUGGAGCAAACCCGAGAAACACUCUCUCAGUUCGGAUCGUAGGCUGCAACUCGCCUACGUGAAGUCGGAAUCGCUAGUAAUCGCAGGUCAGCAUACUGCGGUGAAUACGUUCCCGGGCCUUGUACACACCGCCCGUCACACCACGAAAGUCGGAAGUGCCCAAA
rnacentral:rRNA from 1 species